rnacentral:rRNA from 1 species
GGGUGAGUAACACGUGAGUAACCUGCCCUUGACUCUGGGAUAAGCCUGGGAAACUGGGUCUAAUACCGGAUACGACCAUCUGACGCAUGUCAUGGUGGUGGAAAGCUUUUGUGGUUUUGGAUGGACUCGCGGCCUAUCAGCUUGUUGGUGGGGUAAUGGCCUACCAAGGCGACGACGGGUAGCCGGCCUGAGAGGGUGACCGGCCACACUGGGACUGAGACACGGCCCAGACUCCUACGGGAGGCAGCAGUGGGGAAUAUUGCACAAUGGGCGCAAGCCUGAUGCAGCGACGCCGCGUGAGGGAUGACGGCCUUCGGGUUGUAAACCUCUUUCAGUAGGGAAGAAGCGAAAGUGACGGUACCUGCAGAAGAAGCGCCGGCUAACUACGUGCCAGCAGCCGCGGUAAUACGUAGGGCGCAAGCGUUAUCCGGAAUUAUUGGGCGUAAAGAGCUCGUAGGCGGUUUGUCGCGUCUGCCGUGAAAUCCGGGGCUCAACUCCGGAUCUGCGGUGGGUACGGGCAGACUAGAGUGAUGUAGGGGAGACUGGAAUUCCUGGUGUAGCGGUGAAAUGCGCAGAUAUCAGGAGGAACACCGAUGGCGAAGGCAGGUCUCUGGGCAUUAACUGACGCUGAGGAGCGAAAGCAUGGGGAGCGAACAGGAUUAGAUACCCUGGUAGUCCAUGCCGUAAACGUUGGGCACUAGGUGUGGGGGACAUUCCACGUUUUCCGCGCCGUAGCUAACGCAUUAAGUGCCCCGCCUGGGGAGUACGGCCGCAAGGCUAAAACUCAAAGGAAUUGACGGGGGCCCGCACAAGCGGCGGAGCAUGCGGAUUAAUUCGAUGCAACGCGAAGAACCUUACCAAGGCUUGACAUGGGCCGGACCGGGCUGGAAACAGUCCUUCUCCUUUGGGGCCGGUUCACAGGUGGUGCAUGGUUGUCGUCAGCUCGUGUCGUGAGAUGUUGGGUUAAGUCCCGCAACGAGCGCAACCCUCGUUCCAUGUUGCCAGCGCGUAAUGGCGGGGACUCAUGGGAGACUGCCGGGGUCAACUCGGAGGAAGGUGGGGACGACGUCAAAUCAUCAUGCCCCUUAUGUCUUGGGCUUCACGCAUGCUACAAUGGCCGGUACAAAGGGUUGCGAUACUGUGAGGUGGAGCUAAUCCCAAAAAGCCGGUCUCAGUUCGGAUUGGGGUCUGCAACUCGACCCCAUGAAGUCGGAGUCGCUAGUAAUCGCAGAUCAGCAACGCUGCGGUGAAUACGUUCCCGGGCCUUGUACACACCGCCCGUCAAGUCACGAAAGUUCUGGUAACACCCGAAGCC